rnacentral:rRNA from 1 species
ACGCUCGACACCUACGGUAGGCAGCAGUGAGGAAUAUUGGUCAAUGGGCGCAGGCCUGAACCAGCCAAGUAGCGUGAAGGAUGACUGCCCUAUGGGUUGUAAACUUCUUUUAUAUGGGAAUAAAGUUUUCCACGUGUGGAAUUUUGUAUGUACCAUAUGAAUAAGGAUCGGCUAACUCCGUGCCAGCAGCCGGCGGUAAUCUGAGGCGGGCUGGCAAGGC